ACCUGCAUAUCGGUUAGAUGUUUGUGUGAUUGUUUACAACUGGUUGUGAUUCUCAUGUUUUCAUAUGUCAGAUUGAUACUUUGAUGUGCAAGCACUCGCGUCUUAUCAGCAAACACAGAAAUAACAUAUCAACAUAUUAGUUAAUAGGACGUCAGAGGAGAUUCUCCCUUAUGAAGAUAAAGAGACACUGAGAAGACGACUGGAGCACCUGAAGCGAGAGUAUGAGAGGACAGCACAGAGACUGCAGAGAGCAGAGCAUCAUGAUGCCAUUCUCAGACGUGUGCAGAACAGACUUACACAGAUUGACUUACCACACACAUCUGAGACUUCUUCAGUGGCGACAUCAGAAUAUUCUGAAAACCAUCAGAAUCUGCAGUUACAAACCAGAACAUGAAAAUAGGCCAGCUGCUUCAGACUAUAUACCUGGAAAAGACUUUAACCAUGACAAACUGCAUGAAGGGAUAUUCUUACAGAGUUAAAAGAUGGUGAUGUCUUGGGCUCUGGGCUUGUUGGUGUUUUCCAGUCUGGUCAUCUUGCUGUUUGGGAUCUCGGAGGAAGUGUGCAUGGCUAAAGUUGUCGGUGUGCUGACUGAGUUGUGUCGACUAGCCCGCUGGGCAGGACCAGACACGCUGCUGACUGGAUAUCUGAAUGGGGAUGUUAGUGUGUUUCAUAUAAAUCUACAUAAACAGACCAUACAUCUCUAAUCACUUUUAUUACUUGUUAAUAAAAUAAAAAUGUGUUAAUUAAUGCCAUUGUUAAUAAACAUUCAAAAUGUUACACAGGGUGUUUGUUGAAUACAGUUAAUAUAAGCAUGG